rnacentral:tRNA from 1 species
GGAGGGUAUAGCUCAAUUGGUAGAGUGAUUGCUUCUCAUGCAUGAGGUCCUGGGUUCAAUCUCCAGUACCUCCA